GGAUGUGAGGAUGACCUGGCUGCAACCCCAAUGAUUGCCAGGGUUGAUUUGGCUGUUCUGGCUGGCUAGAUGAGUGUCCCAUCCUCCCUCAUUGCUCCAUGUACACAAACCUCUGGAAGCUGAGUGCUGGCUCUGUCAAAGAGGAAGACCUUCCCUAAUAGAGGAGGGCCUUUCUUCAGUUAAGGGUACAGGAGUAGCUGUGCUCCCCUGCUAGAACCUCCAAACAAGUUCUCAAGAUCUAUUUGUAAGAGAAUGUAGGGUAGUCAAACUUUAAAGACUCUAGUCACAUUCAAAUGAGGCACUGCAUGUGGCAGCUUGCCUUUCUUU
rnacentral:snRNA from 2 species